GCCAGCCCGCUCAAGAAACUCAAAGGAAUUGACGGGGCCCGCACAAGCGGUGGAGCAUGUGGUUUAAUUCGAUGAUACGCGAGGAACCUUACCUGGGCUCAAAUGUAUGUUGACGUAUUCUGAAAGGGAUACUUCUUCGGACAAUAUACAAGGUGCUGCAUGGUUGUCGUCAGCUCGUGCCGUGAGGUGUCGGGUUAAGUCCCAUAACGAGCGCAACCCCUACCUUUAGUUGCCAUCAGGUAAUGCUGGGGACUCUAAAGGAACUGCCUACGCAAGUAGUGAGGAAGGCGGGGAUGACGUCAAAUCAGCACGGCCCUUACGUCCAGGGCUACACACGUGCUACAAUGGCCGAUACAGAGGGCAGCUACCUGGUGACAGGAUGCAAAUCUCCAAAGUCGGUCUCAGUUCGGAUCGGAGUCUGCAACCCGACUCCGUGAAGUUGGAUUCGCUAGUAAUCGCGCAUCAGCCAUGGCGCGGUGAAUACGUUCCCGGGCCUU
rnacentral:rRNA from 1 species